rnacentral:tRNA from 1 species
GCCCAAGUGGCGGAAUGGUAGACGCAGGGGAUUCAAAAUCCCCCGCCUUCGCGGGCGUGCCGGUUCGAGUCCGGCCUUGGGUACCA